GCAUCCAUGGCUGAAUGGUUAAAGCGCCCAACUCAUAAUUGGCAAAUUCGUAGGCCUGCUGGAUGCA
rnacentral:tRNA from 1 species